rnacentral:rRNA from 1 species
CAGAUUAAGCCAUGCAUGUCUUAGCAUGCGCUGAAGUAAAGUGAAGCCGCGAAUAGCUCAUUACAACAGCCGUUGUUUCUUGGAUUGAACCUCUACUUGGAUAACUGUGGUAAUUCUAGAGCUAAUACAUGCAACAAAGCUCCGACCGUAAGGAACGGGCGCAUUUAUUAGAACAAGGCCAUCCGGCUUCGGCCGUUCUUUGGUGACUCUGAAUAACUCAGCGGAUCGCAUGGGCUCGUCCCGGCGACGAAUCUUUCAAGUGUCUGCCUUAUCAACUUUCGACGGUAGUUUAUGUGACUACCAUGGUUGUAACGGGUAACGGAGAAUCAGGGUUUGACUCCGGAGAGGGAGCCUGAGAAACGGCUACCACUUCUAAGGAAGGCAGCAGGCGCCAAAUUACACAAUCUCAGUACGAGGAUGUAGUGACGAAACAUACCGAGGCGAUGCCCUUUCGGGUGUCGUCAUUGGAAUGGGCUGAAUUUAAAACGUUCAGUGAGGAUCUAGUGGAGGGCAAGUCUGGUGCCAGCAGCCGCGGUAAUUCCAGCUCCGCAAGUGUAUAUCUAUGCUGUUGCGGUUAAAAAGCUCGUAGUUUGAUUCGCGUACUUAGCACGCAGUGUGGCCUUUCGGCUACUACUGUGAUGCGGUACAUUAUCGUCAGUUUGUCGUUGAUGCUCUUCAUUGGGUUGCAGGCGGCGGCUGUCAAGUUUACUUUGAACAAAUUAAAGUGCUCAAAACAGGCGUUUCGCUUGUAUAGUUUUGCAUGGAAUAAUAGAAUAGGACUUACGUUCUAUUUUGUUGGUUUUCAGAACGAAAGUAAUGAUUAAGAGGGACAGAUGGGGUCAUUCGUACUGCCACGUUAGAGGUGAAAUUCUUGGAUCGUGGCAAGACGAACUACUGCGAAAGCAUUUGACAAAAAUGUUUUCAUUAAUCAAGAACGAAAGUUAUGGGUUCGAAGGCGAUCAGAUACCGCCCUAGUCAUAACCGUAAACGAUAUAGACUAGGCGUCUGCUCGGGUUUACUUUGACCGAGUAGAAAGCUUCCCGGGAAACGAAAGUCUUCGUAUUCCGGGGGAAGUAUAGCUGCAAAGCCGAAACUUAAAGGAAUUGACGGAAGGGCACCACCAGGGGUGGAGCCUGCGGCUUAAUUUGACUCAACACGGGGAAACUCACCCGGCCCGGACACAUGUAGCAUCGACAACAUCAUAGCGUUUUCUUGAUUUGGUGGGUGGUCGUGCAUGGCCGUUCUGAGUGGACGUCGUCAUUUGUCUGGCUAAUUCCGAUAACGAACGAGACUCUAACCUGCUAACGAGUGUACAGAUCAUUAUGUCUGUCAUAACUUCUUAGAGGGACAAACGGUGUUCAGCCGUAUGAAAGAGAGCAAUAACAGGUCUGUGAUGCCCUUAGAUGUCCGGGGCUGCACGCGCGCUACACUGCAAAAAUCAGCGUGUGGGGUCACCUGACCCGAAAGGGCUGGGUAAUCCGGUGAAAAUUCUGCGUGAUUGGGAUCGGGACUUGCAAUUAUUUCCCUUGAACGAGGAAUCCCUAGUAAGUGCAGGUCAUCAGCUUGCGCUGAUUACGUCCCUGCCCUUUGCACACACCGCCCGUCGCUGCCCGGAACUGAACCAGUUCGAGAAAACUGGGGACUGACAACUUGAGGUGCGCAAGCAUUACUUGCAGAUGGAAACGAUCUUGAUCGGUAUGGCUUGAACCGGGCAAAAGUCGUAACAAGGUUUCCGUAGGUGAACCU